AUUGAACGCUGGCGGCAUGCCUUACACAUGCAAGUCGAACGGUAACGGGCCUUCGGGUGCCGACGAGUGGCGAACGGGUGAGUAAUACAUCGGAACGUGCCCGAUCGUGGGGGAUAACGAGGCGAAAGCUUUGCUAAUAACUCAUACGAUCUACGGAUGAAAGCAGGGGACCGCAAGGCCUUGCGCGGACGGAGCGGCCGAUGGCAGAUUAGGUAGUUGGUGGGAUAAAAGCUUACCAAGCCGACGAUCUGUAGCUGGUCUGAGAGGAUGAUCAGCCACACUGGGACUGAGACACGGCCCAGACUCCUACGGGAGGCAGCAGUGGGGAAUUUUGGACAAUGGGCGCAAGCCUGAUCCAGCCAUGCCGCGUGCAGGAUGAAGGCCUUCGGGUUGUAAACUGCUUUUGUACGGAACGAAAAGCCUUCUUUUAAUACAGGAGGGUCAUGACGGUACCGUAAGAAUAAGCACCGGCUAACUACGUG
rnacentral:rRNA from 1 species